rnacentral:rRNA from 1 species
CGCGUAGGCGGUUUGUUAAGUGAGAAGUGAAAGCCCUCGGCUUAACCGGGGAUGUGCUUCUCAUACUGGCAGGCUAGAGGAUGGGAGAGGGAAGUGGAAUUCCUGGUGUAGCGGUGAAAUGCAUAGAUAUCAGGAGGAACACCGGUGGCGAAGGCGGCUUCCUGGACCAUACCUGACGCUGAGGCGCGAAAGCGUGAGGAGCGAACA